rnacentral:rRNA from 1 species
CCUACGGGAGGCAGCAGUGGGGAAUUUUGGACAAUGGGCGCAAGCCUGAUCCAGCAAUGCCGCGUGAGUGAAGAAGGCCUUCGGGUUGUAAAGCUCUUUUGUCAGGGAAGAAACGGUCUACUCUAAUACAGUGGGCUAAUGACGGUACCUGAAGAAUAAGCACCGGCUAACUACGUGCCAGCAGCCGCGGUAAUACGUAGGGUGCAAGCGUUAAUCGGAAUUACUGGGCGUAAAGCGUGCGCAGGCGGUUAUAUAAGUCAGAUGUGAAAUCCCCGGGCUCAACCUGGGAACUGCAUUUGAGACUGUAUGGCUAGAGUGUGUCAGAGGGGGGUAGAAUUCCACGUGUAGCAGUGAAAUGCGUAGAUAUGUGGAGGAAUACCGAUGGCGAAGGCAGCCCCCUGGGAUAACACUGACGCUCAUGCACGAAAGCGUGGGGAGCAAACAGGAUUAGAUACCCUGGUAGUCCACGCCCUAAACGAUGUCUACUAGUUGUCGGGACUUAAUUGUCUUGGUAAACGCAGCUAACGCGUGAAGUAGACCCGCCUGGGGGAUACGGUCGCAAAGAUUUAAAAACCUCAAAAGAAGUAAGUAGACGNGAGAGAGACGACGACGACGACGACGGAGGGAGGAGG